CCGUGCUAGAUGGGGAGAUGGCGGUGCCCUGUAACCCGCAAUCCGCCUUAGCGGGAUUGAAUUCCCAUCCACGGUACGAUUCAUGUAAGGUCUGCCUUGUGCAAGUGGUGUUGACAAUCGGGUCCUGCGCAACAGAAACCCAUGAAACUGGUCAGGUCCGGAAGGAAGCAGCCAUAAGUGGAUUCUUCUGUGUGCCGCGGAUAAGCCUGAUCGAGCUAACUGCACAAGUAACGCUUAGGUGGUCGUAUCAACGAUGGGUGCACGG
rnacentral:SRP_RNA from 1 species